AGCCUGCGGCCGCAUCCGCUUGGGGUUCCUGGAGCCGCCCGGCCGCCGGGCGAGCAGCUGGAGGAACCACGCCAUGGGGGAGGAAGAAACUCAGCGGCUGGCAGGGAAAGACGGAACGUUAAGGAAAGAGGAGGAUGGAAUUGUCAGCAAAGCAAAUAGCAUUGGAGCACGCGCCCAAUGCAACCCAAGGCCCCAGGCUCCGGCAGACCACGAAGCGGCGGCGAAAGGGGAAGAAAGCGGGAGACCUGAAAAGGGGGUUCUGGGGAACAAAUAAACAAGUCAGGCUGGAAAGGGACAUAAGGCUGAAGAAAAAUUGCAAAGAAAACUGAAUGAGAGCUUUGCCUUAGCUGGACCUUUGGGAAUAGGGGCUGGAGAAGAAAAUAAAUGAUCUGUGAAGGAAAGGAGACAUCUGGGUCUAAUUCAAACAUCUGAAGAAAUGGAAAGGAUUUUCUCUCCUCAUCAAAAGUUCUGAACUAAGCUUUAAAAAAAAAAGGAAUGACGGUGGGCCUCACACAAUCAGUUGAAGACCUGAAUAGAACACAAGACUGACAUCCCUGGAGCAAGAAGGAAUUAGGCGGCAAUCAACCUUUGGACUUCAACUGCAACAUUGGCUCUUCCCUUGUGUCCAGUCUGACAGCCCACCCUGAAGAUUUCAGACUUGCCAGCCUCCAUAAUUACAUGAGCCAAUUCCUUGAAAUAAAUACUUAUAGAGAGAUAAAUAGAUAGAUACAAUUCAUUUUGUUUCUCUGGAGAACCUUAAUACAUCUACUUAAUGUUGAUCUUCCUGAUUUUCUCAGUGCUGAAUAUAUAAAUUUGUUUUAAAUUUCUGAAGGAUAGAGCUUUUAAUGACAAAGAAUAGAAAUCCACUCAAAGUAGCUAAAGAGGGGAUUUAAUGGCUAAUGUCAUUGGAAAGGACAGGGGCACAGCUUCAGGCACACCUGUAUCCAGGGACACAAAUGGUAUUGUGAGAACUCCCUUUGAUUCUCUCUCCCUGACCUUAUGCACAGGGAAAUGACCCUCAAACACCUCUGGAAUCACAUCUUUAUAGUUUGCAGUCCAAGGGGAGAGAGGCUAUUCCUCCAUCCUCACUUUUCAUAUUCUAGGCAAGGAUUCGGAUGGGUCCAAUGCAGACUCCUAUGCCCCACUCAUUCGUGUGGUAGAAGGCAGGACACUGUGAUUAGACAAUUUGACCAGCGCCACAUAGAGUCACCAGAGGUACACAGAGCCAACAAGAGAGCCAGCAAUUCCCCCAGCACCAUGUAGACUCCUUUUCCUCAAAGGAAAGGGGAAGGUGUUUCUAAAAAAUGAAGGGACACCUGGAAGACACAAACAAAAGAUGCCCACUACAUCAGGUGAACACAGCCUUGACUGCCCCACCAGGAAACCUCAAGCUUAGGAACAAAGGAUGUGGACUCCCACUAGAAUUAGUAUAUUCCCCUAUAUUCCUCUCUGCGGUGCCUCCAACUUUUCCCAAUAGGCGGAACCUGGGGCAGAGUUUUCUAGCUCUGCUAGACUCUACUGCCUAGAAAUUGUCCACAAAUAGGAAACCAUGAGAUUAACCGGUCCUAUCUACUGUUUCUGUUCUGUAGAAUGUGAUCAGAGCUGGAAUGGAAACAGACCAUUCAUGGAACUGCCCAGGGCUGAAAGAUCACUAGAAAUGUAAGGUGACAGAAAAAAAAAAAAAAUACUAUUUCCUGGUUUCUUUCAGGUGAUACAAAGGCAUUUCUGCAUAGCCUGCAAGAACCCUUUCAAGAUUGCAUAGAUAACUCUGUUGUGGGGAAAUGGAGUAUAAAGCUGGGUUUUCCCAAAGGGAUAUAAAUUCCCACCGGACUGAAGAGCAGCUAGCUUCCUACUGCUGGAAAAAGGGUGGUGGUGUAGGGAAGGACACAUAUGCACAUACCACUGCUUUGGCUCAUUAGAGUCAGGAACAAAUAAAAGAUGGAAGACUUUGGCCCACUAGAAAGCAGCACCUAUGAAGGCAAGGAAUGCUCUCCUCCAUCAGGUGUAUGUGGGUCUAAUCCCCUUAAGACAAAAUAUAGGGUCUGCAGCCAGAAUGCCAGGGUUCAUAUUCCUGGCUUUUCCACUGAAGUUGUAUGGCAAUGGAAAAUGUACUUCUCCCUGUGCCUCAUGGGGACAGUAAUAGUUACCAAUCUCAUAGGGUUAAAUGACUUCAUAAAUGUAAGGUGCUUAUAAUAGUGUUUGUCACAUAGUGAAUGCCAAUGAAAGUUUGCUAUUUUUAAAUAUUUUGCUCCUUGUCAUUCUGGAUAGCGCUCCAUCCUAAUUCUCAUUAGCAAAAAAUCCUCUAAGUGCUUGGCCGAUUCUUGGCCAACAAUCUGAGUUUCAAAUUUCCCAUGUUUAUAAAGGUUUUCAAUAAUACUUGCAAGAUUUUAUACAUUUUGGGGGACUAAUUUUUGUUUUCACCAAAUACAACUUAAUGUGAAUGAUUACUUCCCUUUUUUUGUGGACCAUUUAGGAGAAAACAAAGUAUAAUUUAAAAAUUCAAAAGUAAAAAGUUUUACCUGAUUAAACUACACCUUCUAAAUUAACUUUUGAUUGAAAAAGUGGCUAAAUUAAUUUAAAAAUAUAUUGUGUUCAUUUUAAGAUUGGUAUUUGGCACCAUCUGCCACAAAUAAAAAAAGCAGUAAAAUUAAUGUACCAACUCCUCCAUGAUUUACCAAGGCUCUGUUAGAAGGAAAUCAGCUUCAAGUGACAGUACCUGCCAACAGUAGUUGUUCAAAACAAGGAAACCUCUUAUCUCACAUGAUACUCUGAAAAUGGGUGGUUCCCAGGCUAGCUCAAAAGUCAAUAAUGUCCUCAAGGAUCCAGGCCUUGUUUCCUUCUUCUUUGCCAUUCUCAGUGGACUGGCUUUUCAUCAUGAUUUCAAGUUGACUGUCAUAGCCUUCGACAUUAAGUUUUCACUCUACAGCAUACCAAACAGGAAAGAAAAGAAUCGAGGGGAAAAGAGCCCUCUUUACAUAGAUUAACUCUCUUAAUCAGGGAAGAAAAUCUUUUUAAAAAAAUACUCCGGGCGCCUGGGUGGCUCAGUUGGUUAAGCGACUGCCUUCGGCUCAGGUCAUGAUCCUGGAGUCCCGGGAUCGAGUCCCACA